AACUUUCUGAGAGGACAUGCAUCCAAUACUGAAUUUGCAAUGCAGAACUUGUAUCCUGUAAAACACUCUGUGCCUUUCUUCUCUCGGUGUGAUUUAUAUGAAGUUCGUCUUUUCCAAAAGCUUUUGCCGAUACUAGUAAAUAAGCUGCGAUUAUGAUGCCUCUUUUGUGUUCGAUGCGCAUGUCGUUUGUAACAACGGCUUUCACCAAUUGUUUAACAUAAGGUAUAGCAGUUGAGCCCCCUAGUUUGGUACAAAGAUAAGUAAUGGUUUCCAUCAGAUCAUCUUUAGCUGCUAAG